rnacentral:rRNA from 1 species
AUACGUAGGUGGCAAGCGUUAUCCGGAAUUACUGGGUGUAAAGGGUGAGUAGGCGGGGCUGCAAGUCAGAUGUGAAAACUAUCGGCUUAACCGAUAGCCUGCAUUUGAAACUGUAGUUCUUGAGAGACGGAGAGGUAAACGGAAUUCCCGGUGUAGCGGUGAAAUGCGUAGAUAUCAGGAGGAACACCGGUGGCGAAGGCGGCUUACUGGGCUUUUACUGACGCUGAGGCUCGAAAGCGUGGGGAGCAAACAGGAUCAGAUACCCUGGUAGUCCACGCUGUAAACGAUGAUUACUAGGUGUGGGGGGACUGACCCCUUCCGUGCCGCAGUUAACACAAUAAGUAAUCCACCUGGGGAGUACGGCCGCAAGGUUGAAACUCAAAUGAAUUGGCGGGG